rnacentral:rRNA from 1 species
CACGUAGGGGACGAGCGUUGUCCGGAUUCAUUGGGCGUAAAGCGCGCGUAGGCGGCUCGGAAAGUCGGUCGUGAAAUCCCCGGGCUCAACCCGGGAACUGCGUCCGAUACUGGUUGGCUUGAAUCCGGGGAGAGGGAUGCGGAAUUCCAGGUGUAGCGGUGAAAUGCGUAGAUAUCUGGAGGAACACCGGUGGCGAAGGCGGCAUC